GUUCUCUCUACACUUUCUUUCUCUUCCUCUCCAGUGGUUACGAGUAACCAAAAAAUCCAGAGAGAAACCAAAAAUUCAGAAAGAGAUUCAGAGAUAUCCAGAGAUCAACUACUCUAGAUUGAUUGAAAAACUACAAAUUAAUUUUGAUUUUGUAAACCUAAAGUGAUUGAAAACCCACUUUAUAGAAAUCUAGAUAUUGAUUUUCAACUCUUAGAAGAAGAAGAUUGAAGUCGCAGAAUCAAUUUCUUAGAAGUUCUAUCAGAAGAAGAUUGAAGUGCAAAUAUAGCAGUUUCAAGUACAAAUUUUUGAAGAUUCAGUAGAAUGGAAUCAAGUCGAAGCGGUUCAAAUCCGUCUCAUUCAACUACUACGCCAUCCCAGAAAUAUGUAUCCAGCAAAUCAAAAAAGCCGAAGUUUAUCACUGUCAAUUUUGUUGGUAAGGUCAUAGGAGAUUGGAUUUCUAUUGGGAAAUUCGCCACUAGGGAUGCAGAGCUCAUACGGAGUCAUGUUCCUAUAUCACACAAGGAGUGGAGGUGUGUGCCGGACAAUUUUAAAGACGACGUGUGGACUGCUUUGAAGGGUGAAUUUGGGUUCAAUAUGGACCCAGCAUCCUGCUGGAAAAUUGUUGAAGCAUCAUUUCCACUCUUUUACAGGCGAUUCAAAUAUGAGUUUAGGCAGACAUUAAAGCAACGAGUUUUUUCUCGUGACAAAGAAAGAAAAAGAGCAAGAAGUAAGGAAGGAGCUGACAUACCCGAGGAGGUAGAUGAAGAACCACUUCCUGAACUCACUCCAGAAAUAUGGGAAAGUGCAAGAGCAGAUGUUCCACUUGGGAUUGAUCCAUAUAUCUGAAAGGAAUUUGUUGAUUUGGAGAAGAAUCCUGAAAAGGUAGCAAAGAAUAAGGUGAAUGCAGAAAGCAAAGCAAAGAAAACUAUCCAUCAUACACUCAGCAGAAAGCAACCUAUCCCUCAGAUAGGUUGCAAUCGAUGCCAAUCAGGGAGUAAUAUCUUCCUAGUUUGUAUUCUUUUUUGUGUUCUUUUGCGCAACAAUUAUAGGUUCAACACAAGCAUAGCAACCCCGUUUGCACUGAUCAGUAGUAUUUCCUUCUUUUUUUUUUGUUCUUUUUUGUUAUUUGAACUCCAUUUGUUUCUUUUGCGCAGCAAAGGACAGGUUCAAACUAGCACAGGGCAAGUUCCACUUGUUGCAUCGAAGAAUUUUCUUGUUAGUGUCCUUUUUUGUUUGUUUCAUCCUUAGUAGUGUUGUCUAGCACAUUGAGGAUAGGAUUUUUUGGGGUUUGUAACUGCCUAUAUUUACUCAAUAUAAUAUAUCUUAUUAAUUUGACCAAAACCAUUUUAACUCCGCCAGUGCUUGCAUUUCUGGUCCCAAGCCUGGAUAAAGGAGGAGGGAAAAUGAUUUAUUUUUACUCAGUACUAACUACUUUGCUUUGCAACUUUUAUUACUUGAUUCAGCUGGUUGUGGACAUUAAGGAGAGCUGCUCACAAGUGGUAUUUUUCAGGUUGGUGAUCAGCAUCGAGGGUAUCUGUUGGAGCUGAUGUUGACCAAAACCCGGUGUGCAGCUGGGGAAGGUAAUACAGAAUCAUCUAGUGGAGAAAGCUCUGCGAUGCUGUUAAUGUGUAAAUAUUUGAUGCGGUGUCCUAUAACGCCUGGCCGAGAUAUUGUCAUAGGAUACUUCUUAUGCUCAAUGUUUUUUCGAUUAUAACUGGUUCAAGUAGUUGUAAGGGAGAUCUCGUUCAUGGUUUAAAGAUUGUUGGAACUACGCAAUAAGGUGGUUCAAGAGGGUAAAAGGAUGUGAGUCAACUGCAAGGCAUGCUGCUUAGUUCCUGAAGAAGAUCCUCACCAUCAACCAUGAUGAUCAUAGUAAAUUGAGCGACAUUUCUUCCAUUAUUGAUGCCCUUAAAAGCUCUCCUGUAGGAUGAAUCCUAUAUUAGAAGAAGCUUAAGUUCUUGGAAUGGCUCUUAGGACCCCAUGCUUGGACAGUGUCGAGUAAGCAGAAGCUCAGUGUACUGUAAUGUUGUUGAUAUGGUUUGGUUCAUAGAGUUACCAAAUUGGGUCUGUCGCCAAAGAAGUAGUUAGGUGGGAAGUCGGAUCACAGUAAAUUCUUGGCACAAGGCAGUUAUAAGUCAAGAUUUUAGAUAGAAUUUGAGAGACAUUAUAGAAGGUUACAAACAAAACGUAAAGGAUGUCGUCCAAGGUGUUUUGUUCCCUGUAGCUGGUUUAGACAGGCAGUUGGCCUUGCGGGAGGCGCACGUGAGCUCGUAAUUGUUCGAGACCUCAAACCUAUUUUCGAUAUGUGAAUCUUGUUGACUACCUUUCCAAGUUAAGUGUCAUGUGAGAUAUGUUCCAUCUGAAUUAUGAGUAGUGGGAUUCAGCAAGUUGUGGGUAAUUCCUUCCUUAAUUUCCUGUAGAAAUGUAGAUGAAGUCCCAUGAUGUAGAAUGAACAAGUUUAUAGGAAGUAACAUGUUAUUCAGUACCAAAAUAUGCUCAACUUUGAUCCAGAAUUGUGGUGAGAGACUUGCAGUUCUAGGAAGCUAUUUUUUGUUAUAAUUUUGAGUAUCUUACAUAUGUAAUUAUAAAUGAGAUGGAUCAUGUUUGAAUUGUGCUUUGAUAUUUCAUAUUUGAUGGAAAAUGGCAGUUCU